UGGACAAUGGGCGAAAGCCUGAUCCAGCAAUACCGCGUGCAGGAAGAAGGCCCUCGGGUUGUAAACUGCUUUUGUACGGAACGAAACGGCGCGCUCUAAUAAAGUGCGCUAAUGACGGUACCGUAAGAAUAAGCACCGGCUAACUACGUGCCAGCAGCCGCGGUAAUACGUAGGGUGCAAGCGUUAAUCGGAAUUACUGGGCGUAAAGCGUGCGCAGGCGGUUUUGUAAGACAGGCGUGAAAUCCCCGGGCUUAACCUGGGAAUUGCGCUUGUGACUGCAAGGCUAGAGUACGGUAGAGGGGGGUAGAAUUCCGCGUGUAGCAGUGAAAUGCGUAGAUAUGCGGAGGAACACCGAUGGCGAAGGCAGCCCCCUGGACCUGUACUGACGCUCAUGCACGAAAGCGUGGGGAGCAAACAGGAUUAGAUACCCUGGUAGUCCACGCCCUAAACGAUGUCAACUGGUUGUUGGGAAUUUACUUUCUCAGUAACGAAGCUAACGCGUGAAGUUGACCGC
rnacentral:rRNA from 1 species